UGGUAUGCAGAAAAUAUGUUGUGAAACAAGUGCUUUGAAUUAGGACAAAUGCAAAGGCUUAGGGCUGAUUAAUAGCUACUGCAGUCAAAGACUUCUGAGACCAGGUCCUUUCUGUCCCCUUGAGGGUCCCCCGGGGGGAAGGGGUGGCCCCGUGUCCUCACCAGGUGACACUGUCCUGUGUCCCUGUCCCCAGAAGGUCCCUUUUGUCCCCAAACCCCCCCCCCCGACCCGAGGGACUGUCCCUUGUGGACGCAGCAGAUUUAAUGAUUUGGGGACAAAACGCGCACACGGGGGGACACGUCCCCCACCUUGGGGACACGCCAGGCCCCCAGGGGUGGUGGCACGUGGAGGAAGGUGGCACUUCUGGGGGGGUUGGUGGCACUUUUGGGGACAGAGGAGCACCACGGGACAGUGGCACCUUGGGGACACGGUGGCCGUUGUGGGGUGGUGGCACCGUGGGGACGCGGUGACACUGGGAGGUGGUGGCACUUUGGCAAGACGGGGGCUCCAGGGGGUGGUGGCACCGUGGGGACAGGGCUCCAGGGGGUGGUGGCACCAUGGGGACAGGGUUCCAGGGGUUGGUGGCACCAUAGGGACAGGGCUCCAGGGGGUUGGUGGCACCUUGGGGACAGGGUUCCAAGGGGUUGGUGGCACCAUGGGGACAGGGCUCCAAGGGGUUGGUGGCACCAUGGGGACGGGGCUCCAAGGGGUUGGUGGCAACGUGGGGACGGGGCUCCAAGGGGUUGGUGGCAACGUGGGGACAGGGCUCCAAGGGGUUGGUGGCAACGUGGGGACGGGGCUCCAAGGGGUUGGUGGCACCAUGGGGACGGGGCUCCAGGGGUUGGUGGCACCAUGGGGACAGGGCUCCAAGGGGUUGGUGGCACCAUGGGGAUGGGGCUCCAAGGGGUUGGUGGCACCAUGGGGACGGGACUCCAGGGGGUUGGUGGCACCAUGAGGAUGGGGCUCCAGGGGUUGGUGGCACCUUGGGGACGGGGCUCCAAGGGGUUGGUGGCACCAUGGGGACAGGGCUCCAAGGGGUUGGUGGCACCGUGGGGACAGGGCUCCAGGGGGUGGUGGCAUCUGGCAGGCAGGGUGACACACUGGCACCGUGGGGACGCGGUGUUGCUGGGAGGUGGUGGCACUUUGGUGAGAUGGGGGCUCCAGGGGUUGGUGGCACCAUGGGGACAGGGCUCCAAGGGGUUGGUGGCACCAUGGGGACAGGGCUCCAAGGGGGUGGUGGCACCAUGGGGACGGGGCUCCAAGGGGUUGGUGGCACCGUGGGGACAGGGCUCCAGGGGGUGGUGGCACCUGUCAGGCAGGUGGAAGUGGCACUUCGGGGACACGGUGGCCCUGGCUCACGCCUGGCACUCGGACUUCUUCUGGGCAGCCUGUGGGGACAGAU
rnacentral:lncRNA from 1 species